GCAAGUCGAGCGGCAGCACGGGGAGCUUGCUCCCUGGUGGCGAGCGGCGCACGGGUGAGUAAUGCAUAGAAAUCUGCCCGGGAGUGGGGGAUACCCUGGGGAAACACAGGCUAAUACCGCAUACGCCCUACGGGGGAAAGCUGGGGACCUUCGGGCCUCGCGCUAUCGGAUGAGCCUAUGUCGGAUUAGCUGGUUGGUGAGGUAACGGCUCACCAAGGCGACGAUCCAUAGCUGGUCUGAGAGGAUGAUC
rnacentral:rRNA from 1 species